rnacentral:lncRNA from 1 species
AUUUCGUUAGGCUUUGCUGAUUACAAAUGAGAAGAUGCUGUGUUAGCUCCUCCUCCAGUGGUUUGUCUGCUACUUAUAGCCACAGUCCUCUCCCCUUCCUCCAUCAGUGGGGUUACCACUGUGCUCCUGUCUAGGAAACAAGAAAGGCGGUGCCUUCACCAAGAAGUAAGGCUAAAUUGCAAGCUUUAGGUGGACCUUAUUCAAAUGGCUCAACAGCCCAGCCCAAGAGCCCUGGGUCCCCCUGGGGAAGAGGAUGUUGCACCAGACAGCCAAACCCAACUACAGCCUGUCAGACCUCGGCCAGUUAGAUCCCGGAGAAGAAGGCGUAGGCAGGCAGCUCCUGCAUCCCGAGAAGAAGAUGAACCUAGGACCUUUCAAGCUCAUCGCCACAUGAGAAGCAGCCUGAGCAGGAGAGAAUUGAAAAUAUGACAUGAAUUUAAGUGCUCUGAGGCUGAUCUGAACCCAUCAAAGUUGGUGCAAAAAAUUCCACUGGUUUCAGUAGCCUUUGGAAUACUUGAUGCUCAUUACCAAAAAU